CUGCCCUAUGAAUUUAAUUUAAAUGGCCGCAGUAUCUUAACUGUGCAAAGGUAGCAUAAUCAUUUGCCUUUUAAUUAAAGGCUUGUAUGAAUGAAUUUACGAAAAUUUAACUGUCUCAUUUUAACAUAUAAAAAUUAAUCUUAAAGUGAAAAAGCUUUAAUUAAUUUAACGGACAAGAAGACCCUAUUGAGCUUUAUUCUAAAUUAUUUAAAAAUAAUAUAUUUAAAUAAAUUUAUAAGUAAUUAAAAUUUAGUUGGGGCGACUAAAGAAAAAUAAUAUCUUCUUUUUACUUUUAGGAAAAUAAUCCUUUUUUAAGAUCUAAUAUAUUAAAUAAUAAAAAAAGCUACCAUAGGGAUAACAGUCUAAUCUUUCUUUAAAGUUCAAAUUAACAGAAAGGAUUGGCACCUCGAUGUUGGCUUAAGAUUUCUUUAUUAUGUAGCAGUAAUAAUAGUAGGUUUGUUC
rnacentral:rRNA from 1 species